UCCCGUGUAGCUCAGUUGGUAGAGCAUGGCACAAGCGCCAGGGUGGUGGGUUCGAUUCCCACGAGGGAA
rnacentral:tRNA from 1 species